rnacentral:rRNA from 1 species
UACGGAGGAUCCGAGCGUUAUCCGGAUUUAUUGGGUUUAAAGGGUGCGCAGGCGGGAGAUUAAGUCGGCGGUGAAAUUUUGCAGCUCAACUGUAAAAGUGCCUUCGAAACUGGUUUACUUGAGUGUAAAUGAAGUAGGCGGAAUUUGUGGUGUAGCGGUGAAAUGCAUAGAUAUCACGAGGAACUCCGAUUGCGCAGGCAGCUUACUAAACUACUACUGACGCUCAGGCACGAAGGCGUGGGGAUCAAACAGGAUUAGAUACCCUGGUAGU